AUUGAACGCUGGCGGCAGGACUAACACAUGCAAGUCGAGCGGAGCGGCGGACGGGUGAGUAAUGCCUAGGAAUCUGCCUGGUAGUGGGGGGUCACGUCCGGAAACGGGCGCUAAUACCGAAUAAUAUCAGAUGAGCCUAGGUCGGAUUAGCUAGUUGGUGGGGUAAAGGCCUACAAAGGCGACGAUCCGUAACUGGUCUGAGAGGAUGAUCAGUCACACUGGAACUGAGACACGGUCCAGACUCCGACGGGAGGCAGCAGUGGUGAAUAUUGGACAUGGGGCGAAAGCCUGAUCCAGCCAUGCCGCGUGUGUGAAGAAGGUCUUCGGAUUGGAAAGCACUUGCAGUUAGUAGGCGUUACCAACAGAAUAAGCACCGGCUAACUUCGUGCCAGCAGCCGCGGUAAUAC
rnacentral:rRNA from 1 species